AGCAGUUGUGGAUGCCUGGCCGUUUUUCCCAGGUACAAAGGAAAAACCUGCUGCCGAUGGCCGGAUUCACGAGAAAUAACAUUUCGAUCCCAACUAUAGCUGUGCCGAGAGUCUGUGCACAGAGUUGUCUAGAUGAGAAGGGAUAUAGCAGAGAUGAGCGCAUGAAAUUCGAUCGUCGGAUAAACUGUGAACAGCAGCUAGUCGCCUAUAAAAGGCAAAUCACACAGCGCUGUUAGAAAAAUUCUCAACAAAUCCCCACAAGAGAGUAGAGGAAUGAGCGGCUUGUGAAAUAACUUUUUUGGUGCGCUGCAGCAGUGACCGACCAUGCACGUGAUGAUGUGGUAAAACGAAAUUGGAAAAAAAAGAAGAAGAAACGAAACGGGCAGCCAGCAGGUUAUUAUAUACAUAAUAUUUUCUGUUUGAAGUUUUUCUUUUUCGGUAACAUGGAAUAUGUUUGCUGGCCAGCAGCAACGGCUCGAUGAUUUUUAUUUGUAUAUGAUGGCUCAAUUGAGGAAGAAGAAGAAGAAGAAGUAAGGCAACCUUUGAAACGUGUACAACAAAUUGUUUUGUAUAUUGUCGUAGAUGUAUAUAUCCUAUACACAAAGAUAA